rnacentral:rRNA from 1 species
AGAGUUUGAUCCUGGCUCAGGACGAACGCUGGCGGCGCGCCUAACACAUGCAAGUCGAACGAGAGAUGAGGAGCUUGCUCUUCAAAUCGAGUGGCGAACGGGUGAGUAACGCGUGAGGAACCUGCCUCAAAGAGGGGGACAACAGUUGGAAACGACUGCUAAUACCGCAUAAGCCCACGGCUCGGCAUCGAGCAGAGGGAAAAGGAGCAAUCCGCUUUGAGAUGGCCUCGCGUCCGAUUAGCUAGUUGGUGAGGUAACGGCCCACCAAGGCGACGAUCGGUAGCCGGACUGAGAGGUUGAACGGCCACAUUGGGACUGAGACACGGCCCAGACUCCUACGGGAGGCAGCAGUGGGGAAUAUUGCACAAUGGGGGAAACCCUGAUGCAGCGACGCCGCGUGGAGGAAGAAGGUCUUCGGAUUGUAAACUCCUGUUGUUGAGGAAGAUAAUGACGGUACUCAACAAGGAAGUGACGGCUAACUACGUGCCAGCAGCCGCGGUAAAACGUAGGUCACAAGCGUUGUCCGGAAUUACUGGGUGUAAAGGGAGCGCAGGCGGGAAGACAAGUUGGAAGUGAAAUCUAUGGGCUCAACCCAUAAACUGCUUUCAAAACUGUUUUUCUUGAGUAGUGCAGAGGUAGGCGGAAUUCCCGGUGUAGCGGUGGAAUGCGUAGAUAUCGGGAGGAACACCAGUGGCGAAGGCGGCCUACUGGGCACCAACUGACGCUGAGGCUCGAAAGUGUGGGUAGCAAACAGGAUUAGAUACCCUGGUAGUCCACACCGUAAACGAUGAUUACUAGGUGUUGGAGGAUUGACCCCUUCAGUGCCGCAGUUAACACAAUAAGUAAUCCACCUGGGGAGUACGACCGCAAGGUUGAAACUCAAAGGAAUUGACGGGGGCCCGCACAAGCAGUGGAGUAUGUGGUUUAAUUCGACGCAACGCGAAGAACCUUACCAAGUCUUGACAU